rnacentral:misc_RNA from 1 species
UCACUACUUGCGUAGGCAGUCUCUUUAGAGUGCUCGGCAUCACCCGGUGGCAACUAAAGACAAGGGUUGCGCUCGUUGCGGGACUUAACCCAACACCUCACGGCACGAGCUGACGACAGCCAUGCAGCACCUGUACAAAUUCCCCUUGCGGGACACGAACUUUCAUUCGCUUUAAUUUGCGUUUCAAGCCUAGGUAAGGUUCUUCGCGUUGCAUCGAAUUGAACCACAUGCUCCACUGCUUGUGCGGGCCCCCGUCAAUUCCUUUGAGUUUCAACCUUGCGAUCGUACUCCCCAGGUGGAAUACUUAAUGCGUUAGCUGCGACACUGAGUUUUAACACCCAACGUCUAGUAUUCAUCGUUUAGGGCAUGGACUAC